UUUUAGAUGCUAAUUUUAUGGCUUUUUUUUUUCAGAAGACAAUGAGUUGAGUAGUAGCCAUCUAAACAAACACAUCAGUGACUGUUCAAGCAAUGUCUAGGACACCCAAACCAGUGGCUAUGGAUGUGGCAUUGUGCAAUGUAGUUGAGGUUAACAUAGAAGACACCUGCUUCACUAGCAACAGCUCUGCCAUCCCCAGGCCUUAGGGUUUGACUGAGGACUCUUGAUGUCCUGGCAUUGCAUACUCCAG
rnacentral:lncRNA from 1 species